UACGGAGGGGGCUAGCGUUGUUCGGAAUUACUGGGCGUAAAGCGCGCGUAGGCGGACCUGCAAGUCGGGGGUGAAAGCCCGAGGCUCAACCUCGGAACUGCCUUCGAUACUGCGGGUCUCGAGUCCGGGAGAGGUGAGUGGAAUUCCUAGUGUAGAGGUGAAAUUCGUAGAUAUUAGGAAGAACACCAGUGGCGAAGGCGGCUCACUGGCCCGGUACUGACGCUGAGGCGCGAAAGCGUGGGGAGCAAGCAGG
rnacentral:rRNA from 1 species